UGAAAAAAAUGGACUUAGUGGGUCUUUGAAUUUAAAUAAAAUAAACAUGUAUAUGCAACACAAAAUAUUUAUAUUCCUUGUGUAAACAUAAUUUAAUUGAUUAGGAUUAAAAUGUUUUGUUUGAAUGUAAAAUGAACACAUUAUUCUCACAUUGAUUAAAAUCGAUUGAAUUGAAUACUUAAAGCAAUAAAAUUGGGUUUGCACACAAAACGCACCUCCUGAGCAGCAGGGGCAGUAACGCUCAAUGAGAAGGACGUCGAUUGCCAUAAAAGAAGAAUAAAGAUCGUUUGUUUUGGGCGCCAAAAUGAAGACUCAGCAGCAGCAGUCAGUCAGAAGAACUCUCUCAGACGGACACCACGUUAUUAAAGUCCAUCAUCCUUGCACACACUCAAAAGCAUUGAUAAAUGCUGAAUUUAAAAGAAUCACUACUGUCUAAUGUUCCUGCGUGUCACCUGGACCUCCAAUCCAAAAACCUGAUGAAACUCUUCUAUCAGAAAGGAGGACAGCUAGCAAAAAGACUUCAAACAAUUAAUGAUCAAAUGACAGAAGGCAUGGAUGAAGUCAACAUCAGUGAGGUCAUUUGAAGACACCAAUGUUGGGAUUUGUGCUCUCAAACAACAUGCUUC